UGAGAAUCGGCACCUGAUGUGGAAGGCAAAUUUGAGCAGAAUUCUUAUGCCCCGUGCCAACAUUCAGUUUGACCCCGGGGGCAGUAUAACAGUAUGCAGGUAUAGAAGUCUGUGGAGUGGAUUCUUGGCAAAAGGCAUUCCGAAGGGCACUUGAAAAAUGUACCAGGCACGUAACACCACUGCAUUCUUCCAAACCUUCCACUUAAGUUGCACAUUCAGUACAUAUUUUCAGAUGUACGAUAAGCGCCACUGGAGUCUUUGUGGGUAGGAGCAGAAACAAAAGUUUUAACGUUUCCCCCUCAAAUCCGGAUCAUAUUGCCGUUUUUACGAGAAACAACAAAACAACUGUUACUUUUUCAGAGAUCUCUGAGCCCACAGACACGUUGUCUGACAAUGUUUCAGAGACGCAUGAAAGAAAUAAAAAAUAAUGGUGUAAAUGCACCCAUCUGUGGUCUGAACAACAUGGGAAAACAGCUAGGAUUUCUCUUUAUUUGUGGGCAAACCCAAAACAGAUUAUUGGCCACCUUGGACGCAGUUCUUCAUGCCUGUCACCACCUUAUUGUAGAGCCGUUUUGGCAGUAAAUUCUGAUUAAAUUUCAGAGAAUGCUCAGA